UAAUGUAUGGGGAUCUGCCCGAUAGAGGGGAUAACUACUGGAAACGGUGGCUAAUACCGCAUAAUGUCUACGGACCAAAGCAGGGGCUCUUCGGACCUUGCACUAUCGGAUGACCCAUAUGGGAUUAGCUAGUAGGUGGGGUAAAGGCUCACCUAGGCGACGAUCUCUAGCUGGUCUGAGAGGAUGAUCAGCCACACUGGGACUGAGACACGGCCCAG
rnacentral:rRNA from 1 species